GGGAGCUCACUGUUCUUCAGAAGGAGAGCUGUUACAACACGGAGAAUAGAUCUGCGGGGCUGAUCCAGGUGUGCUGGUUCUGAUGGGAGCCGGGAGAGAAACGGAGCAGGAGCUCCUGACACCCGCCGGCAGGCGAUGAAUUAGUGCAGCACAGCUGGAGCUGCUUGAGGGCUGCAGAUGCAAAUCCCAGAGCUGUUCCUGCAUGUACCGGAGGCAGUGUGGCCAGUCUGGGGGUUCCCAUAUAUAAGAUAUGUCGAGGUGCUAGAGCGAAGCUGAGAAAAAAUGUAUCUUUGAAGAGGCAAAGUGGACAUGUCAUUGAUGUCUAUGGUUAUUAAGAGGGGGAUGUGCAGAAGGGAGAACCAGACUGUCCUUGGAGAUGCACAGCAACAGGACGAGAGGCAACAAGCACAAAUGGCAGCAUGGAAAUUCUCAAUAGAGAGUGAAAAAUGCCCACCAUGAGAAUGGUCAAAUGGCAGACUGGGAGCCCAGAAAGGCUGUGAGACUCCACUGUAUGAGAUGCUCAAAACUCAGCCGGACAUAGCAGCCUGGUAAGAUGGGCCUGCAUGGACUGGAAGCCAUGCUUUUAAUUGCAGCUGUUGUGACCUCUGUGUGACACUGGGGUGACAUUAUCCAAGCCUCUUAAGCAGAAGCCCGGUCCCAUCCCAGUUAAAUCUGCCAGGUGAGUCCACUUACUUCUAAAUGAUGUUGGUCUCGAUCAGCAUUGCAGGAUGCAUCUUGCUGCCACUGUCCUCUCCUAGGGGCAGUUUCAAGCACAACCCUUUGAAACACGAAGCAGGAGUGGGAUGCUAGGUAUGGCUCCCUAGAGAAAAGCCACUCCCAAAGCCAGCAGGAUGCCACAGCUCUACAGAGGGAUUCUGCUCAUGGUGUCAUCACUUCCUAUGUGUGUCCCCUGUG
rnacentral:lncRNA from 1 species